UGAAACUAAAAGUAUUUUAAUACAUAAAUCUGUACAGUCCAUAUGACACACUCACAUUUUACAUAUUCUCCUGGCUUAUUAAAACAUUUAAAAACACUCCAGAAUUUGAAAAUUUAAUAAUAUUCACCUACUAACACAUAUAAAUCACUGAAUGGUCAAAAUGUUUUUAUUUAAGCAUGUAUAUGUUCAGUGACUCUCAAGUUAACUAGGUUCAUUUUCCCUAAAGAUGUC
rnacentral:lncRNA from 1 species